ensembl:ncRNA Y7A5A.15 ncRNA
AAAAAAAGUUUCGCAGUCAGCAGGAUUCGAACCUACGCGGGCAGAGCCCAAUUGAUUUCUAGUCAAUCUCCUUAACCACUCGGACAUGACGGCAC